rfam:Triticum aestivum genome assembly, contig: Triticum_aestivum_CS42_TGACv1_scaffold_622003_7DS
CAUAUACUCCCUCCGUUCCGAAUUACUCGUCGCAGAAAUGGAUGUAUCUAGAGGUAUUUUAGUUCUAGAUACAUCCAUUUUUGCGACGAGUAAUUUGGAACGUAGGGAGUAGCAU